rnacentral:rRNA from 1 species
AUUGAACGCUGGCGGCAUGCCUUACACAUGCAAGUCGAACGGUAACAGGUCUUCGGAUGCUGACGAGUGGCGAACGGGUGAGUAAUAUAUCGGAACGUGCCCAGUCGUGGGGGAUAACGCAGCGAAAGCUGUGCUAAUACCGCAUACGAUCUAUGGAUGAAAGCGGGGGAUCGCAAGACCUCGCGCGAUUGGAGCGGCCGAUAUCAGAUUAGGUAGUUGGUGGGGUAAAGGCCCACCAAGCCAACGAUCUGUAGCUGGUCUGAGAGGACGACCAGCCACACUGGAACUGAGACACGGUCCAGACUCCUACGGGAGGCAGCAGUGGGGAAUUUUGGACAAUGGGCGCAAGCCUGAUCCAGCCAUGCCGCGUGAGUGAAGAAGGCCCUCGGGUUGUAAAGCUCUUUUGUCCGGAAAGAAAAGCGCCGGGUUAAUACCCUGGUGUCCUGACGGUACCGGAAGAAUAAGCACCGGCUAACUUCGUGCCAGCAGCCGAC